UAAUGAUUCUUAAUAAAAUUAGCAUUACUGUUAGCUUCUAUGUAUGUAUGAAUACAAUUGAAAGAUUUACAUUGAUUAGUUAACUCUUAAAAGAUUCACAUUUCUGUCCACUGCAUAGGACACUGAAUAUAUGGUACGGUGUUGAGCAGGUGAUAUAUGUAUUUAACGAUCAAAUACUUGACCCUGAAUGAUGUAUGAUCCACUGUGUCACACCCUUGCUGAUAGUAGCUAACACACUUCACUGAAUCCCCUCCAAAUGUCACCACUUUUUCAUUGGUUGACAAUUUAUACCUCAAUAUUGUACUCUCUAGACCACAAAGGACCACAAAGGUAUAAACUAAUUGACAAUUUAUACCUUUGUGAAUUUUGAUACAAGAUG
rnacentral:misc_RNA from 1 species